CCUUCUGAACUGCAAGUCCUAGGUUCUGUGGUUUAACCCACAGUGCCACCCGUGUCCCUUCCAGCAUAUAUAAGAACAUAAUAAAGCAGUAAACAUUAUAAAAAAACACUUCCCUGUACAGGGCUGUCUUCAGAUGUCUUCUAAAGGUUGUAGAGUUACCUAUCUCCUUGGUCCAGGGAUCAAAUAACUCCAAACCCUCCAACAUUUCUCUGAUGAAAAUAGGGACGUUCUGAGGAAAAGCAGAACAUUCCGGGAUCAGAAACUGGGACAGCUUCUGUAAAUCCAGGACUGUCCCUGGAGAAUAGGGACACUUGGAGGGUCUGCAGUUGUGUAGCAAAGUUACCAGCAACCUGCUUAUGCAUUCACUUGUGCAACAAUGUUCUGUUGGUGCAAAACAUCUUGCCAGAGGAACACGUAUACUGCUAAGUGACUAACUUGGAGCUAUGUUGGAUACAACCCUUAAUCAUUAUUAUUACUGCACAUCUUAGAGGCCGUAGUUGAACAACUUUGCCGUGUGUUCUCUCUCUUUCUCUGUUAUUGUUGUCAUAUACCAGUGUAGACUCUGGUAGGCGUCCUUCUCCCUUGCUCCAGCUCCUUCUUGCUUUCUUGCUCUGCAGUGUUUGAAGGCUAAUGAAUGUAUACUUAGCUUUCAGGCACAUACAUUUGCACCAUGUAACUGCUGAGCAAACAAUAGCUAAUUAGUUUUGUGUUUUGUAAAGUGCUAGGAGAUCCUAGGGGAUGAAAGACACUUCCUGCCGUGUAACACUUGGGCUUUACCAUGUAGGAACGGACACCUCUUCUUGUCUCUCCCCUUCCCCCAGCGCAAACACUUACACAGAAACAGGCUGUGAAGCUUAAUUAAUUUUGAUCUUCCAGAACACUGGAAGAUAAUACGGAGCACUCACUGUUGGCAAUGAACUAGCAGUGAAUAAUGAAAGUGCAAAGCAGCAUCUUUAUCAGGUCAAAGCAUCACUGUGGAGUUAAUGUGUAGCUUAGCGGUAGCCUUGUCAACCACUGAAAUUCACCAAGCAGUUCAAGAACAGUUCCCUUGGCCUAUCUGCCAACCGCUGUGAAUAUCUUUGCAUUUAUUGGUUCCUUGAGGGCAAACCGUGUAGGUAUUUACUGGUUCCUACAAAUAUGCCUCAUGCAUCCUUGUCCAAAAAAGUGGGGUGAUAGCUAUUUCAAGCACCAACAGAAAUGGCUAUCUCAGGUAUUCCAAUCUCUCCUGGAAAACCUCCAAAAUCUGUAACAAUAACAUUUAUAUAAUGAAGUUCAAGUACUUAACAUAAUAGAACUGAGAUCUGACCCUUUUGUUGUUGCUGCUGCUACUGCUGUUUGCAAGGUUACCGUAUCUUGUUUUGUAUUCUAUGGAAAAUGUGAAUAAAAUAUUUUAAAAGAAUUUCACAUAAUAGCCAUAUCAGUAACCUUGAAAACAACCCUUUAAGGUAGGACACUGUUAUCCUCCACUUGCGAGUUGGAUGUGCACUGAGGCUAAGCCGAGAACUGGGGCUUUCCUAAAAUCCCCAAGUGAGGUUGUGGCUGUGGUAUGAUUUGAACCAUAGGCUUUUUUCCCUCUAGUUCUCUUAGCCAUCACAUUGGCACAGCUCAAACAGAUGUGCUUCACUGACACCCAGUGUUGACUUUUUUUUGUUUUGUUUUGUUUUGUUCCAGUCUGGCAACCUGUAUGCUGCAUUUUGAAGUUUGGAAAGUAGCACACCUUGAGAGCUAGGUUUGCAUAGGUAGGCUGAACUGUAGCCAGAUAUAAAAUACACUCUGAGUCUUUGUUACCUAAUUAUUUUAUUGGCUGAUUCAGCUUAGCCAUCCUGGGUCAGUAUCCUUUGAAAAGCAAGCAGAUUCCAGCUAGCUAAUGAAAUGGGAGCUCCUUCAAAAGCAGGAAGAGGGCAUAAAUAAUAGGUAGAACACAUGUGCCUGGAGAAUUCCAGUUCCCUGGCUCUGGAAUUCCAGAUCCCUGGCAAUUCCAGUUAAAAGUAUCUGGUAAAAUGGGUAUAGCCAUUAUUUUUGUUUGGGGGGGGGGGACAGGCUUUUGUUAGGGGAUGGAGAACCUCAGAUUUGUAUGGAUUUGUAUUGAUUGGGGGGGGAUAGCUGCCCCCCAUCCCUCCUUGGCUAUGCCCACGUCUGGUAACAUGAUGGGAAACACUUUUGACCGAGACCCCAGAAGGCCACUGCCAAUUGGAGCAGAGACAUUACUGAGCUUGAGCAGAAGACUGCAGAGAGGCAGCCCGUUGGUGCCGUGAAUGUCCGUAUCUCGCAAUGAAGAGCUAUUCAUUCCUGUCAUUUGCAACGAGAUUGCCUGUUUUUAUCAGACAAGCAAUGAAGGAAAUGAGUAUUUGGUAGCUACAGACAACAGUAGUUUGGCUAGUGCUGCCAGAUGCCUUGAAAUCUGUUAGGCUGAAGCUGCUUUUGUGAUUCAUGGCAAAGUAAACUGACUUCUGACAAUGAAAGAAUGCUUGCUUGUAUGAUGUCGCCAGAUUGUGCUGGCAUGGAGCUAGGAAGCCUCUAUGUAUAAGGCAUUAAUUUCCAUGCAUUCACUGUGUCUAGGAAACGACACUUUGCACUUUGUUUACAUAGGUACAUUUUUAAGCAAUUACAUUAAUCAACCAAGGCAAUUGUUGUAUUACUUAAUAAUGGGGUAAAAGAGAAAAAUGGGAUCUAUUUAUACUCACCAUUGUUCUUGUGAACAUUGAUAAGAUGCAUCAGACUAAUUUAUUCACAAAUAUAAUAGUAUUUGCUCUGCAGGUUUCAUAAGAAGUGGUGUUCCGUGUAUUUUCUUUUUGUUAAUUACAAAUUUGGUGUUCUUUGAAACUGUUGUACAGGAGGAUCAGUUUCUCCUAAUCUUCCUAGCAAGUUGCUCUUCAGCUUUGCGAUUAACCUCUGCAUGCUUCUUUCUUUCUUUCUCGUCUUACAGCAGGACCAUUGCUUAAAACCUGACCUCACUUGUGUAGUACAGUGGUACCUGGCAAGACGAAUGCCUCGCAAGACGGAAAACUCGCAAAACGAAAGGGUUUUUGGUUUUUUGAGUUGCUUCGCAAGACGAUUUUCCCUAUGGGUUUGCUUCGCAAGACGGAAACGUCUUGCAAGUUUGUUUCCUUUUUCUUAAAACCGUUAAUACAGUUGCGACUUGACUUCGAGGAGCAACUCAUAGCACACGGUGUGGUAGCCUUUUUUGAGGUUUUUGAAGACUUUGGUGAUUUUUGAAGCUUUUCCAAAACUUUUCCGACACCGUGCUUCGCAAGACGAAAAAAAUCGCAAGACGACAAAACUCGUGGAACGAAUUAAUUUCGUCUUGCGAGGCACCACUGUAAGUCCUGCUAGGGCAGUCACCCUAUAUAUUCGUAACAAGCUCUGAAAGGCAAAAGAAAUUGAAAAUUGAAUACAUCACCUUUUGAACUACCCUUUGUAUCAGGAUUUACUGUAUUUUUUGCACCAUAACACUCACUUUUUUCCUCCUAGAAAGUAAGGGGAAAUGUCUGUGCGUGUUAUGGAGCGAAUGCCUACGCAUGGCGGGGGGAUCUGCUGCAGUCGUGAGCAGGGGAUCCAUGGUUCCUCUUCCCUCCUCUGUGGCUCGCUUUGAAACAGCAAAGCGGGAGAAGAGCCGCUGAGUGGGGAGGAGAGAGGGACAGGGAGCCUGCUUGCUUUAAAGGAGCAAAGCGGGAGGGGAGAGGAGCCUUCUCCUCUUAUACCCCUCUUCUGCAUUAUUAGCAGCAUCCUUCUCCACCCACCCCACGCGUGUUCCUUGUCCCUUGAGUGCUUUUCCUUCCCUCCCCACCUAAAAUGUGGUUACAAAGCACGGAUCCACAUGGAUCCUCAGGAUUUUUGCAUUGAGCUACCCCAAACUCACCGUCAGAUCACAUGUCUGUGGCCACAGCAUGAACCACAAAAAUCAUACACCCACUGUUUCGUUUAGAAUAUUUUUUUUCUUGUUUUCCUCCUCUAAAAACUAUGUGCGUGUUAUGGUCGGGUGCGUGUUAUAGAGUGAAAAAUAAGGUAAGUGGAGAGUGGGAGGCUCCCUCCUAAACAAGUAAGUUACCCUUUGUAAGGAAAGAUGUUACUUAGAAUCAUAGAAUUUUAGAGUUGGAAGGGGUUCCAAAGGCCAUCUAGUCCAACCCCCUGCAAUGCAGGAAUCUCAACUAAAGCAUCCAUAACAGAUGGCCAUCCAACCUCUGCUUAAAAACCUGAACGAAAGGGAAAGCCCACCACCUCCUGAGGGAGACUGCUAUACUGUCAAACAGCUCUUAUUGCCAGAAAGUUCUUCCUGAUGUUAAGUUGAAAUAUCCUUGAAAUACCCUCCAGAGCAGGAGAAAACAAGCUUGCUCCCUCUUUCAUGUGACAGCCUUUCAGAUAUUUGUUUUUGGUUUUUUUCCUAAUUUUUAUUAAUUUUUUCAAGAAAUAGAAAUUAAACAAAGAAAAACAAAGAACAAUACAUAACACUGUAAACACACUUAUAUACAUAUUUUCCAAAAUGAAGACUAAU